rnacentral:rRNA from 1 species
ACGCACGCUGGCGGCGUGCUUAACACCUGCAAGUCGAACGGGUCUGCCCUGUUUUUUGCGGGGUGGGUCAGUGGCGAACGGGUGAGUAACACGUGAGUAACCUGCCCCUCACUUCUGGAUAACCGCUUGAAAGGGUGGCUAAUACGGGGUGUUCUGGCUGUGCCGCAUGGUGUGGCUGGGAAAGAUUCACUUUUGUGGUGUUUUGGUGGGGGAUGGGCUCGCGGCCUAUCAGCUUGUUGGUGGGGUGAUGGCCUGCCAAGGCUUUGACGGGUAGCCGGCCUGAGAGGGUGGGCGGUCACACUGGGACUGAGAUACGGCCCAGACUCCUGCGGGAGGCAGCAGUGGGGGGUAUUGCACAAUGGGCGGAAGCCUGAUGCAGCGACGUCGCGUGAGGGAUGGAGGCCUUCGGGUUGUGAACCUCUUUCGCCGGUGAAGAAGGUCCUGCUCUUUGUGGUGGGGUUGACGGUAGCCGGGUUAUGAAGCGCCGGCUAACUACGUG